UUACAUUGCAUGCAUCUCAUGUCCACUUAGUUCCCAACAGCCCACCUUUUUUGACCUUGGAUCUCACACCUCUCUCUCUCUCUCUCUCUCUCUCUCUCUCAGUGUGAUAUAUAGACAAAUAGUUUGCUUUAAGGAAGAAGGGGAUAUAGCUUUGCUUGCCUGCAUGGAUUCCUGGUGGGUUCUUCUAGUCCACAAAAUUGAAGGCCGAGUGGGUGGGAGGCAUUUUUGUACUGCUGCUUCCUUUCUCUCUGUUGAUCAAAUCCAGUGUUCUGCUCCUUCUUCUCUUGUUGUAGCUCUCACGAGGAACGCAGCUUCACUUGGUUGUCGGACGUUCUCUGCAUAGGUGACCUGAAAGGGUAAGCAAACAUAGGAAGAUGAUCUGACGUGCUAUAUACUCUUAUGGUUUCUUAGGGUUUCCAGCGGCUGAUGCUUCUUCGGACUCGACUUUGAUGUUACCAGCAUUCUUUUUAGUGACAAAGGAAGCUGCCAAAUUGUCGAGCUGAGAUAAGGUUUGGAUGAUGCAUGCUAGAAUUCCGUAGGAACUGAUCUGCUUCAAAGACCAUCGAAUGCUUUAGUUGUAUGCUUGUGUCUAGCUUUGCCUUGAUCCAUACCCUGCACAUCAGUAGAUGCAGAACAGGUAUGACAUCCUACCAUCAUUACUACAACUUUAGUGUUACAGACAAAGCCUAGUUUUCCUGGAGUUCUUAUGGAUUCAGUACAUAGAGCAUCAUCCACAGCUAGCCUUGAAGUCAUGCUAUCUAUAUAAACUGGACUAUUCACUGGAUGAACAAAAGCUUCAUGGUACGUACCUGACAACAUGGUUAGUAUUGCUAAUUCGUCCUUUUACCGUCACAAAUUUAUCUGUUUUAUGUUCUAAAUUAUGAUGAUGAUAGUUGUUCUGUAAGUGUUGGUGUUAUGGUCUGUAACACUCUUUAUCUGCAAAAAAGCUGUGUUGCUCUUAUCGUCAUCGAUACGUACAUAAACUGGAAAAAGGCAAACAAAACUAUUCUGACUAGAAUUCCUUUACGUGUAGCUUUUCAUGUUUGUGUUUGUAUUCGAUGCAAUGACAUGCAGAACUGAAGCACGAAGCUUCCUCGUUCCAUGAAACGAUUAAUGGAUUGCUCUUUCAAUAGCUUUAAAACCGGUUCAUGUUCUUUCUCUUCACGUCUGACAUUUGGUUUUAAGGUAACGGAUGCUGUACGCAGAAGCUCCUAAGUUAUAUCGAAAGAUGGCACUAAACAUAAGAAAAAUAGAUGGAAUGGAUAGUGUGCGAUUGAUUUCAUAUUGGUUGUACAUAUUCUACAAAAUGACUUUGAUCGUUUGAGCCUCAGCAGGCGGCUUCCUGCGGUGCAAAUGUCAUGCAUCGUAGUUAAUUUUCUGAUGAAGCAAAUAACAUCAUGGCACACAUUCAUAUUAGUAGUCUUUGCUUCAUUCAUAAGUAGGAAUAUCUAGAACAACAGCCGCAUCGCAAUCGUCUAGUACCUUAUGUACACAACGAUAAUCAUCACUCGCACAUAUAUGAUUCAUAUCGUGCUGGCUACAUAGGAGAAUUCAUGUUUCAUUUCCACGGAUACAUUUGGCAGCUCGAUGUGGAUGUCGACGGGAACUCCAUGGCAACUUCUUGUUCAUCGGCAACUUGAAGAAGGUCGUCUUCAUCCGAGUAGAUAGGUUUCUUUGAGCCAUCAUGGCUGAGCUGAGCUGCAACGAACUUGUCGAGAAUCCUCCAAUCCGUCACUUGGUCUGAUGCUUGGCUUACGUUUUCAUCGUUGUUGUCCGUCGUGGUUGCCUGAAGUUGGUGUCGAGGUUGCACUGCUUCAUUCUCCGAGAAGAUGAGUCGCUGUAGGGAGUCUCCGUGGUUCAGGUAGCUAAAAAUCAUGGGGGGCUCUACUGGUGGGAGCUCGUGAUCAAGAGCUUCGUGCGGCGAGCGGCUGCGGCAUGGUCCUCUUUGGGGAGUCGAUGUCUUGCAUGAAGGAACCUUGCUCAUCGUACCAUGGCAACUCAUCACUUGCCUUUCUUGCGGUUGGCACUCGUUUCUUGAACACCCUGCAC